GAUGAACGCUGGCGGCGUGCCUAACACAUGCAAGUCGAGCGGUAUAUAUUGGAAUGAGAUUUCGGUUGAGUGAAGAUAUAGAGAGCGGCGGACGGGUGAGUAACGCGUAGGCAACCUGCCCCAUACACAGGGAUAGCCUCGGGAAACCGGGAUUAAAACCUGAUAAAGCGAGAAGUUCACAUGGACAACUCGCCAAAGAUUUAUCGGUAUGGGAUGGGCCUGCGUCUGAUUAGCUAGUUGGUGGGGUAACGGCCUACCAAGGCGACGAUCAGUAGCCGACCUGAGAGGGUAAUCGGCCACAUUGGAACUGAGACACGGUCCAAACUCCUACGGGAGGCAGCAGUGGGGAAUAUUGCACAAUGGGCGAAAGCCUGAUGCAGCAACGCCGCGUGAGCGAUGAAGGCCUUUGGGUCGUAAAGCUCUGUCCUUGGGGAAGAAUAAAUGACGGUACCCUUGGAGGAAGCCCCGGCUAACUACGUGCCAGCCGCCGCAGUAA
rnacentral:rRNA from 1 species